rnacentral:ribozyme from 1 species
AACAAAGAAGAAAGGAACAAGGAAAAAAAGAGGAAAAAGGCAAAUGAAGUGAGCGAAACAGUGAAUGUUGGGAUGUACAUCCUCCCUCCUCCUUCUGCUUCCACUUC